rnacentral:lncRNA from 1 species
CCUUUUCUUUUCUCUCACUUCUCCUCUUCCACCAAGCCCACCCAUGUUCCGCUAAUCUGCUCCACGGUGUAGCUCCGACCACCUCCAUUCCUUCCUUACCAGUGACCAGUUCUUCCCCCUCCUCUCCUUCCUUCCCUUUUUCCUCUCCCACUUCUCCUCCUCCUCCGAGCUCAUCCAUAUCUCUCUCUAUGGUGGCUUCCACCACCUCCGUCCCUUUCUCACGGUGACCUC